GCCGUAGGGCGCGAGCGUUGUCCGGAUUUAUUGGGCGUAAAGAGCUCGUAGGCGGCUUGUCGCGUCGUUCGUGAAAACCCACAGCUCAACUGUGGGCUUGCGGUCGAUACGGGCAGGCUGGAGUUCGGUAGGGGAGACUGGAAUUCCUGGUGUAGCGGUGAAAUGCGCAGAUAUCAGGAGGAACACCGGUGGCGAAGGCGGGUCUCUGGGCCGAUACUGACGCUGAGGAGCGAAAGCGUGGGGAGCGAACAGG
rnacentral:rRNA from 1 species